GACGAACGCUGGCGGCGUGCUUAACACAUGCAAGUCGAACGGAAAGGCCCUGCUUUUGUGGGGUGCUCGAGUGGCGAACGGGUGAGUAACACGUGAGUAACCUGCCCUUGACUUUGGGAUAACUUCAGGAAACUGGGGCUAAUACCGGAUAGGAGCUCCUGCUGCAUGGUGGGGGUUGGAAAGUUUCGGCGGUUGGGGAUGUACUCGCGGCUUAGCAGCUUGUUGGUGGGGUAGUGGCUUACCAAGGCUUUGACGGGUAGCCGGCCUGGGAGGGAGACCGGGUACAGAGGACUAGGGGAGGGGCCAGGAGGGAAACGGGGGGAAGGGGUGGGAGAAUGACGGAAAAAGGCCGAGUGAGGGAUGAAGAACUCCGGGUGGGGAAGGACGGUUUUGGGGGUAGAACACGUUUGGACGUGACAAGACGCGGGGGGACGGUAAAUGGUUAAAAAGCCACGGCUAAAUAAGGG
rnacentral:rRNA from 1 species